CCAAUAGCGUAUAUUAAAGUUGUUGCAGUUAAAAAGCUCGUAGUUGAAUUUCGGGGUCAGUAGGUUGGUCGUGCCACUGGUAUGUACUGGUCUCACUGAUUCCUCCUUCCUGAUGAGCUGUAAUGCCAUUAAUUUGGUGUUGCAGGGAAUCUGGACUGUUACUUUGAAAAAAUUAGAGUGUUUAAAGCAGGCUAACGCUUGAAUACAUUAGCAUGGAAUAAUGAAAUAGGACGUUCGAUCCUAUUUUGUUGGUUUCUAGGAUUGACGUAAUGAUUAAUAGGGAUAGUUGGGGGCAUUAGUAUUCAAUUGUCAGAGGUGAAAUUCUUGGAUUUAUUGAAGACUAACUACUGCGAAAGCAUUUGCCAAGGAUGUUUUCAUUAAUCAAGAACGAAAGUUAGGGGAUCGAAGACGAUCAGAUGCCGUCGUAGUCUUAACCAUAAACUAUGCCGACUAGGGAUCGGAUGAUGUUAAUUUUUUAAUGACUCAUUCGGCGCCUUACG
rnacentral:rRNA from 1 species